GCUGGGCAUGGUGGCGCACACCUGUAAUCCCAGCUACUCAGGAGGCUGAGUCAGGAGAAUCACUUGAACCCAGGAGGCUGAGGUUGCAGUGAGCCAAGAUGGCGCCACUGCACUCCAGCCUGGGUGACAGAGAGAGACUCUGUCUCAA
rnacentral:SRP_RNA from 1 species